ACCUCCGGUGUCUGCGUUGUAAUCUCGAGACGUGUUUUCCGUGCGGCUCUAUGGACAAGUCCCUUGGAAUAGGGCAUCGUAGAGGGUGAGAAUCCCGUACUUGCCAUGGAAGAACCGUGCUUUGCGAUACACGCUCUAAGAGUCGAGUUGUUUGGGAUUGCAGCUCAAAAUGGGUGGUAGACUCCAUCUAAAGCUAAAUAUCGGGGAGAGACCGAUAGCGAACAAGUACCGUGAGGGAAAGAUGAAAAGCACUUUGGAAAGAGAGUUAAAAGUACGUGAAAUUGUCGAAAGGGAAGCACUUGAAGUCAGCCAUGCUGCUUGAGACUCAGCCUGGCCUUUGGGCGUGGUGUAUUUCUCGGUGGCAAGCCAGCAUUGGUUUGGGUCGUCGGAGAAGCGCAUAGGGAAUGUAGCGUUUCCGGACGUGUUAUAGCCUUAUGCAGGAUACGACGACCUGGAUCGAGGAACGCAGUGUGCCCUCUGCGCGGC
rnacentral:rRNA from 1 species